AAAACAUAUUUAACCUUUAUUUAAUUAGGUUAAGAACAAAUUCUUAUUUACAAUGACGGCCUACCAAAAGGCAAAAAGGCCUCCUGCAGGGACGUUGGCUGGGAUUAAAAAUAUAAACAGAUUAAAUCCAAAUAUAUGACUAUCUGGUAUGUACUGAUAGGGGGCCAACUGGAGUUAGUUAUAUCUUUCACAUUGAGGCCCUCAAGGUCGGCAUUUUCUAUUCAGUCCUCCCCAUUCUAGCCACUCAGCAUUGUGGGGGUUAUUUGAUCUGCCGGGGGACAGACACAGAUACGACCUGGCUGGGAGGCCACAUCACUGAUUCGUGGGGCGUUGUCUUGGCACAAACACAGUCCAACAGUUAUCUGUCCACAUUCUAUUUUUCUUGUCAUGAAUUGCCUGACUAAUGAAUCAGACUGCUGUCUGAGUUUGUUUCCAAUUCAUCCACUUUUUUUAUGUAACUAACUCGACAGUGGCGAUUGAUUUGUGUAGUUGGUCGCGACCAGAAAAGGCAGUGAAAAUGACACACUUCUCCUCUCACAUUUCAAUUACGACCAAAAGGUUUUGUUUGAAAAUGCAGCCUGACAACUCCGUAGCUGAAUUAUCUGUAGAAUUUCACCCGGCAAUUAACAUGUUGACACAUCCUGAAAGGGAGAGAGACUCUGGACUCUGGAGCAGACACACCUGAGAGGCAUUAUUCAAUGCCUAGUGGUUAUUUACAUAAACAUGUCACAGGAGAGUUGGUUGUGAUUGAUAAUGGAGAAGUGCCAGAGGAAAAGGCACAAAGCAUCUGGUAUUUGGUUGAGUGGUGAGGUCACUGGGGCCAUUUAGAGUCUAAAAUGGGAGUCCGGUUUGGGUGAACUCGACUGACCUUGCCUUAGUCCAGAGAACUGGUUUCUGUCUGUAAUGCCAAGGACCUGAAGUUAACUGUGUGCCGGAUGGUCUUACAUUGCAUUCUGUCAAACCGCCUUGUCAUUGUCACAACCUGGACUGGGGCAGCGCAUGAGGCCUGUUUCAGGGACUUGUUUCUGAAGACCAUUCUUCACAAACCUGCAACCCAGGAUGCCAUGGAUAAGGGGGUCCAGAUUCAGGUCACCCUUUAGCUGAAAGGGGCCUCCGAUUGUGAAGGCGGCGGACAGGUGAGAGGGAUCGGCUGCAGUGAGGGUCAGCAUCAAGUCUCGGACCACCUAUCUCAAAACCAGCCUCUACCCCCAAGCCACAAGACUGAUCCAACAGCUGAACCCCGGGCUGACUCCUGCACCCUACCACACACUUACCAUUUAUUCAUAUUCUGUACACACUUAAAUGACUUUAGUCUACCGGACCAAUGAAAUAGUUAUGUCACCUAACUGCACUAUGUAGAUAUACUUUCAUUAUAGUUCUAUGCUGCUACUGCACUGUAGUUAUUCCACUCUAAGCACAUGGGUAAAAAAAAUGUCCAUACUAUAUGAAUGUAGGCUCAUUUGGUUUUUAUCUUAAGGCUAUUUUGGUUUUUAUCUUAAGGCUAUUUUGGUUUGAUCUUAUUCUUAUUUACAUCUUAUUUUCUUUGAUCUGCAUGCUUCUUUUUGCACUUGUUUUUAUUGUUUCAUUGUCAGUACGUCGUAUAGUCAAGGAACUAUGACACAUUGAUUGCAGUCGGCUUUGUUCCCACUGUGUGAGAAGCCUUUCUAUAUUAUUAUUCGUUCAAAUGGACAUGGCAUCCAAUCUAUCUUAAAUCAUAAACGUAAAUUAAUAAAUAAGUGGAGAAAGGGAGGAGGCACGCCGCUGGCUUGAUGCUGAAAAAGUGCCGUGCCUCCGGCUGUCAGCUGUAGUGUCGCCGGUCGGGAGAAGGGCGGGUGAAGGGCGGGUGAAGGGCGGGUGAAGGGCGGGUGGGCUGUGUGAGGAAAACGACACUUGAACAGCAGAAGCACGGCUGCCGCUUGACAAAGUGGCAUAUCGCGGGCGCCCCAUGAGGCGAUGGGUACUCUGGAGGGACGCCGGCCUCCCGAUUGCUCAUUGCUAACUGGGUUGCAAAGUGCAAAUAAAUGUUAAUUCAGGUUAAGGGGAGUUCCCGCUUGAAUUUGAUUAAAAGGGCAGUGAAUUCGCUUAUACUUUGAGAACUUGUUAGCAAGCUCCUGACACACAUCAUUUUUUUCUCUGAGAUUAUUAUUAACUGAAGACACGUGGAACCACUUUAAGUCUCAUUUUGUCAAUAGUCAUUUGCUCUGUGUUAUUAUGUAAUGUAUCAUAUAUUUCAUGUACACUGUAAUAGUUUAGUGUCAAUUAUUUCAUGACUAAUAAAUCCUAUUAGUGA